UACGUAGGGGGCGAGCGUUGUCCGAAUUUACUGGGCGUAAAGCGCGCGUAGGCGGUCUAUUAAGUCUGAGGUGAAAGGUUCAGCGCUCAACGCGAACAGUGCCUUGGAUACUGGUAGACUUGAGUGUGGCAGAGGAGUAUGGAAUUCCUGGUGUAGCGGUGAAAUGCGUAGAUAUCAGGGGGAAUACCGAUGGCGAAGGCAGUACUCUGGGCUAACACUGACGCUGAGGUGCGAAAGCGUGGGGAGCAAACGGG
rnacentral:rRNA from 1 species